GGAAGAGCCACGAAAGAGGUAGUUAUCGAGGAGUUUUUGCAUGUCAUUUGUUUUCGAGUCGCGUUUGGUCGGUUUUAGGGCAAAUUCUGUACAACAUGUCAUAUAUGGGUACCUAACUUUGGAAAAAUUCUAUGAAUGGCAUUUUUAAGCAAGGAUUGGGUAGCAAAAAGUUAUUUUGGAAGAGCCACGAAUGAGGUAGUUAUCGAGUCACGUCUGGUCGAUUUUAGGGCAAAUUCUGUACAAGAUGUCAUAUAUGGGUACCUAACUUGGAAAAAUUCUAUGACCGGCUUUUUAAGCAUGGAUUGGGUAGCCAAAAGUUAUUUUGGACGAGCCAUGAAAGAGAUAGUUAUGAAGGAGUGUUUGCGUAUCCUUUGUUUAGAUUCGCGUUUGGUCAGUUUUAGGGCAAAUUUUGUACAACAUGUCAUAUAUGGGUACCUAACUUGGAAACAUUCGGUGAACGACAUUUUAUAAGGAUGGAUUGGGUAGCAAAAAUUUAUGUUGGACGAGCCACGAAAGAGGUAGUUACCAAGGAGUUUUUUCAUGUUCUUUGUUUUUGAGUCGCGUUUGUUCGGUUUUAGGGCAAAUUCUGUACAAGAUGUAAUAUAUGGGUACCUAACUUGGAACAAUUAUGUGAACGACAUUUUUAAGCAUGGAUUGGGUUAUAAAAAGUUAUGUUGGACAAGCCACGAAAGAGUUAGUUAUCGAGGAGUUUUUACGUGUCCUUUGUUUGGAUUGGGUAGCAAUAAGUUAUUUUGGGCAAGCCACCAAAGAGGUAAUUAUUGAGGAGUUUCUGCAUGUCGCGUUUGGUUGGUUUUAGGGAAAAUUUUGUAACAGAUGUCAUAUAUGGUACCUACCUUGGAAAUUUUCUGCGAACGGCAUUCUUUUAAGCAUGGACUUGGUAGCUAAAUUUAUUUUGGACGAGCCACAAAAGAGGUAGUUAUCGAGGAGUUUCUGCGUGUCCUUUGUUUUCGAGUCGCGUUUGGUCGGUAUUAGGGCAAAUUCUAUAACAGAUGCCAUAUAUGGUACCUAACUUGGAAAAUUUCUGUGAACGGCGUUUUUUAAGCAUGGAUUGGACAGCAAAAAGUUAUUUUGGACGAGCAACGAAAGAGGUAUUUAUCGAGGAGUUUUUUCGUGUCCUUUGUUUUCGAGUUGCGUUUGGUCGGUUUUAGGGUAAAUUAUGUACAAGAGGUCAUCUAUGGUUACCUAACUUGGAAAAUUUCUAUGAACAGAGUUAUUUAUGAAUGGAUUGGGUAGCUAAAAGUUAUUUUGGACGAGCCAAGAAAGAGGUAGUUAUAGAGGAGGUUUUGCGUGUCCUUUGUUUUCGAGUCGCGUAUGGUUUGUUCAAGGGCAAAUUCUGUACAAGAUGUCAUAUGUGGGUACCUAACUUAGAAAAA